CAUUUGCACCAACGUUAGCAGUAAGCAUUGCUUAGCUAAGCAAUUCUUAAAAGUAACUACUUCUUAAAUUGUACAGUUGUUGCACCGUCACCGCUUAGACUCUACUUAACCAAGUAAUACUUAGUUGGGGAAUUGUGUAAAAGUUUCAUUUCUAUUGGCAACACUGACGUUUGUUGUUAUUGGAACAUCAAAAAUUUCAGGUUAGUUUGUUGUGUGUACAACAGUCAUUGACACCGCGCGUGUGUAGUUGUGAUAUUGUUGAAUUAAUUUGAUGUGGUGUUGAAUGUGUGUUUAAAAAAUGGAUGUGUUCGACGCGUACGAGAAUGACUUAGAAGACAUUGAAAUUGUUGAGAUGGGAAUUCCACGGCAGAUGUACACUAGAGCUGAUCAUUUCUAUGGUUUACCAGAGCUUCAAUUUUUCCAAAGAUUUCGACUAACAAAACCAACAGUUUUACAUUUAUUAACGUUAAUUGAAGAACGCUUGGAAUUUCCUACAGACAGAAAUCAGGCGGUGUCACCUAUAAAUCAGCUGCUUACUACAUUACGAUUCUUUGCAAGCGGGGUCCAUUUGAGUACAGUAGCGGACUAUAUGGGAAUGCACAUCUCAACUGUGUCGAGAAUAAUUAGACGUGUAUUGGACGCUAUAGCAAAGCUUUACCACCAUUUUAUUAAGAUGCCCCAAACUCUCAUGGAGCAAAGGCUUAUUGAAAAUGGUUUUUUUGACAUCGCGAGAAUGGAGAUUAUCCAAAUUGUAUAAUAUUGGGUGAUGGUGGCUAUGGUGUAAGACACUAUUUUUUUACACCAUUAUUAAAUCCACACACUCAAGAAGAGCAGUUGUAUAAUGAAGCUCAUAUUCGUACAAGAAAUGUCAUCGAAAGAACUUUUGGUGUCUGCAAACGAAGAUUUCCUGUGCUAGCAUAUGGAUGUCGAUUAAAAAAGAAACUGUUUUGAGUAUUAUAAUUGCGUGUGCAGUCCUGCAUAAUAUAGCUCGACAAAUCGGUGAAGAUGAACCUCCUCUCCCAGCUGACAUUAACCAGCAUGAACUGCAGCGCCUUAUUGAAGACGGUCAAAUACCAGAGGUCAAUGUUAUUGACAACCAAAGGAGGGGCAGUGAAAUUAGAAGAAAUUUUAUAACAAAUUUUUUUGGAAAUUUAUAAAUUUAACAAAUAAAUGUUUUAUUAAUAUUUUA